UUUUACGCCCGGAGGAUUUUCUUCGCUUCCUGAAGAUUUUGAUGUAACUAACUUUAUUUGAACUGUACUGCAGAUGCAUUUAUUGAGAUUAUAGGUUACAACUGUAUUUGACAUUUGUCUUGAAUAAUUAUAUCAAGUGUUUUUUUUUGACAUUUAUUAGUAUGUUAAUGCUGGACUUAGGGAAAAAAAAAAAAAAAAAAAAAAAAAAAAAAAAAAAACAUAGUAUUGAAAAGUUUUAA
rnacentral:lncRNA from 1 species